UGGGGAAUAUUGGACAAUGGGGGCAACCCUGAUCCAGCCAUGCCGCGUGUGUGAAGAAGGCCUUUUGGUUGUAAAGCACUUUAAGCAGUGAAGAAGACUCCAUGGUUAAUACCCAUGGACGAUGACAUUAGCUGCAGAAUAAGCACCGGCUAACUCUGUGCCAGCAGCCGCGGUAAUACAGAGGGUGCAAGCGUUAAUCGGAAUUACUGGGCGUAAAGCGAGCGUAGGUGGCUUGAUAAUUCAGAUGUGAAAGCCCCGGGCUUAACCUGGGAACGGCAUCUGAUACUGUUAGGCUAGAGUAGGUGAGAGGAAGGUAGAAUUCCAGGUGUAGCGGUGAAAUGCGUAGAGAUCUGGAGGAAUACCGAUGGCGAAGGCAGCCUUCUGGCAUCAUACUGACACUGAGGUUCGAAAGCGUGGGUAGCAAACA
rnacentral:rRNA from 1 species